GUAAGGGAAAGUGACCUGUUUGUCACCAGGUUUCCCUUGGAAGUCCCCCACCCUCAGGCCUGGCUCCCCGCACUUCCCCUUUUGGUCCCUUCUGCUCUCACAGCUUCACUGCAGCCAGCGUGGAGCAGGAUGCUGACAGCAGAGUGGCUCCAGUGAGCUGCCAUUCCAGAUGUCAGGAACAAGCUCACAGACUGAGUGAAGCCGAGAAGGAUUGCAAACACCAGUGAGAAAGGGCUGGGAGACAACAGUGACGGAGAAGAGGAGCAGGCUUUCAGGCGAUAAGGUGGCUGUGAACUGCUUUGAAAUGAGGACAGGCCUCCUGGGAGGAGGGAAGAAUGCACCGAAGCAUGCACUGAUGAAAGUUUCUAUCCAAAGACCCAGAGCCACACUGCUCUUCAUGGAAUGGGGCUGUAUCCUGGCUCAACAACCACAGCAUUUUCACACUUAACAAAAGAAAAGGAAGACUCUUUUCUCUGUAUCAUUGAAUCCCAGGAUGGUGACGCUGGGCAGGAGGAGGCCACACCUGAAAGCAACCAGGUUACAGUUUCCUGAGAUCAACUGCGGUCUGAAAAUCGAAGUCUUCAAUCAACACAACUGAGCUGAGACUCCUCUAGAAGAGAGCUAUCAGGGUCCUGACAGACAGCUGUGUUUCUGCAUCGUGUCGCCUGAGGGCUUUCUUCUGUGACCAGAAACUGCUCUGCCCCCAAGCAGCACUGGCCUGGAACUGGAGAAUUAAAGACCUCCCUAAUCCCACACGCAAACUUUGAUGUGAUUGGCAUAUAAGUAUCUUAGCACCCUAGUAUCAUGAGUUACAUGGCGCUGAGGCACAUAUUCCACGCUGGGCCCAGCACUUCCCAGAGGGACUGAGUCCCAGGGUGGCAUCUCACUUGGUGAUGUGCCUUGUACUGGUUACCUUCCCUUCCCAUGUCAGCUCACUCUUCUACUGGCGUGUGCUGGAAUCACCUCCCAAACCAACUAUUUAAAUCUUUGCUUCUGGAGAGACCCCAACUAAAAUAAUAUGUAUUUGCUCUAAGUAGUUUGAUACAGAGCAGAUAAUGAAAAACAGGAGCUGACAAUUAUAAAGUGGAAUUCUUGAGCAAGUGGUAAGCUCCAUUUCUUAGCCUUCUACACCCUCCUCCUCACAACACCAGAGUCAAGAAUUCCUGUCUCCUAAGGAAAUGUCUCUUAUGGCUUGGGUGGAUGCUGUUGUAGGGGUAUGAAACAAGCCAGUUCCCUUAGCCAGUGAGUAUGCACUGGCUGUUUAGAAUGUGCCCAACAGGCGCCAGCCUCUGGAGAGGUCAUUAAUAGCCUCGGGCAUGGUCCCUGCCUCAAGUUGGAGAGUUAGGGCUCAUGAAGUAAGGAGCAAUACAUUUCCAGCCCGUGCUGUUUGACAGCAGUACUUUUCAACACUCGGCCACAUGUGCUGAAGCCUGCUGGUGUCUGCCCAGGUCCCCUCGACUGGAGGGGACCCUGUGCCCCCUCUAGAGCAUUGAUGAGUAACUCACAGCUGUCUCUCCAGAGAGUCAUCCUUGGCCAAACCUUCAUGUGGGCAGCUACCACCCACCACACCAGCCCCUCUUCCAGAUCAGACCUCAGCAAACCUGACUGGCCUAGGGAUACAGAAGACCAGCCUCUUGCGUCCACGUGGGACCAAGUCUGCAGUGUGACUUGUGCUCCAGAACUCUCCCACAGGCUCAGCCUGAAGUCAGGCUCCAGCGAAGCCCAUCCCUGCCUGGCUUCUCUCCACAGUCCUAUUCUGCUGCCCUGACUCCUCUUCCCUAAGGGCUAUUGCCCAGCGAAGCCCAUGGUCUCAGACUGGGCUUCAAAGAAACCUGACUCCAUGUUAGCAUCUUCUGCGGAGUUUUAUAAAAACACAUACACCUGAACUUAACCACCUAGACUUACUGAGCCAGAAGCUAUAGAGCUUCAAGAGUGGGAACCAGACAACUGUAUGCUUUAAAGCCUAAUAGAUAUUUCUAAUUCACCAGUUUAUCUCUCAACUUUUCAUUUUGAAAAUGCCAAACUUACAGAAAUAAUGAAAGUAUAAUGUAGUGAUAAAUAUCUACAUACUCAGCAUCUAGAUAUACCAAUUAUUAAUAUUUUGCUCCAUUUUCCUCUCUCUCUCUCACAUAUCAAAAAUAAUUUGCAAGUAAAUUGUAGACAUUAUGACACUUUAUCCUUCAGUUCUUCAGCAGAUAUUAUCCAAGAAUAAAGACAUUCUCCUACAUAACCCCAGUGUCAUAAUCACCCACAGGAAAUUAAUACUAACUUGUUAACAUCCCCAGAGCAUACAGUCCAUAGUUAAGAUGUACCCUCUGUUUUAGGCCAAAGGUGGCAAUUUUCUCAACUUUAGACUCAACAGAAGUUUGGAGAAGGGAAAAAUCUGUAUGAGUUGAAUAGAAAGGAAAAUACUUCAUGGAGGAAAGAGGAUAAGAAUUGGGCUGUGAAGGAUUGACAUUAGAAAGAAGGGGUGGAGCAAAUGCUCAGAUAGAAGCAGGUAAAUACCUAUGCAAACAUGCAGACAUGGGCAUUGGAAUUGCCUUUUGUGGGAGGAGAAGACUGAGCAGAAUUUGUGGACUAGGAUAGGUAGGCUGUGCAGCUGGACAGGCCUCAUGCAAUCUGAGUACAGAGAAAUUGCCAAUCCAAGCAAUCAAAAAAACAGUGGCCACACACCAAGAAACGUUAAAGGUGACUGCACUUAGGAGAGUGGCAUCAGAUUUGUGGGACACAUUCAGGUGAAUUCUAGUCAGGACCAUGGCAAAGCAUUUGGGGUCAGAAUUAAACUGGGGAGUUAAUUACUGAUUGAAAUUCAUUUAUUCAUAUAUUCGUUCUACCAGCAUUUUCUGAGUACAUAUUAUGUGCCAAAAUACCAAUGUGAACACAGGAAAUAAAGCACUGAAAAAACAGACAAGGUCCUUGCUUUCAUGAAACUUAGGUAGGGGUGUGUGUGUGUGUGCGCGUGUGUGUGUGUGUUGGUUGAGUGGG
rnacentral:lncRNA from 1 species